CGAAGUGAACGCAUUAAGGGUAGACGGAGGAUGCCUUGGCAUCAUAGAACGAUGAAGGACGCGGCGUAACUGCGAUAAGCUUCGGGGAGGCGUGUAGCAGCCUUUGAUCCGGAGAUGUCCGAAUGGGGAAACCUACUAUAGUGAACCUAUAGUGCUUUAUGUGGUAACUCUACAUAUUGCGUAUACUCUGGGAAGUGAAACAUCUCAGUACCAGAAGGAAAAUAGACAAAUUGCAUUUCCUUAGUAGCGGCGAGCGAAACGGAAGAAGCCCAAACUCAGUGUGAGCAUUCGCAAGAAUGUUUCGUUGAGGGUUGUAAGGCAGAGACAAUUGUAUGAGUUCAGUAGUGUACGAUGCUUCGUACGUUGCUGAACUCCAAUACAAAGGAAGUUACAAAUUCAUGUGCUAGCUGAAUCAAAUGGAAAUUUGAGCCAAAGGAGGUGAUAGCCCUGUAGGCGAAAGCGUAUGAACUUUCUUGUUUUUGUUCUUGAGUACCUCGAGGCCAAAAUACCUUGAGGGAAUCCGCCAGUACUAUCUGGCAAGGCUAAAUAUCUAUGAUGACCGAUAGUGAACUAGUACCGUGAGGGAAAGGUGAAAAGCAGCCCGGCAAGGGCGAUGAAAUAGAAACUGAAACCGUCUACUUACAAGGAACAGGGGCUCUAAGUAAUAUUCGCAAGAAUAUUACGGAGUGACUGUGUGCCUAUUGAAGAAUGAGCCAACGAGUUUACGUAUAUUGCCAUGUUUAAUUCCGUUCUACGGAAGAAGGCGCAGCGAAAGCGAGUCUUAACAGGGCGUUACUUUCUUAACUUGCAGUGCACACUUCGGUGUGUGUUGCGAGUUACGAAUAGUUAGCAGUAUGCGUAAGACCCGAAACCAGAUGAGCUUACCUUGGCCAGGGUGAAGCCCCGCGAAAUCGGGGUGGAGGCCCGCACCGUUGAGCCGUGCAAAACUCUCGGAUGAGCUGAGGUAAGGAGUGAAAAGCUAAUCGAAUUUGGUAAUAGCUGGUUCUCUCCGAAAUAGUUUUAGGACUAGCCUCUCGUGUUUCUUUUUGGAGGUAGAGCACUGGACGAUCGUGAAAGGGAGAAAUCUCGCGCGAUCAAUCAAACUCCGAAUGCCAAAAAGUAAGAACGAGGGAGUCAGACUGCGGGGGCUAAGCUCCGUGGUCGCAAGGGAAACAGCCCAGAUCGCCGUCUAAGGUCCCCAAAUGUAUGCUAAGUGUGUAAGGUAGUCAUUAUCCAUUGACAGAUAGAAGGUUGGCUUAGAGGUAGCCAUCCUUUAAAGAGUGUGUAACAACUCACUAUUCGAGGAUCGUGGCGCCGAAAAUUUACCGGGGCUAAGCAUGCUACCGAAGACGCGGAUUUAUACAUUUUUAAUGUAUGAGUGGUAGGAGAGCAUUUCUUGCAGCUGUGAAGGUCGAUCCGUGAGGACGACUGGAGCGCAAGGAAGAGAUAAUGUUGGCACGAGUAAUCGCUAUGCAUGUGAAAACCAUGCACCCCGCAAAUCCAAGGUUUCCUCCGCAACGAACAUCGACGGAGGGUGAGUCGGCCCUAAGGCAAUGGCGAAAGCCGCAGCUGAUGGACAGCUGGUUAAUAUUCCAGCACACCGACCAGGAGAUACCGAUGAAGAUACGAAUGAGAAAAGUCUGAGCGCCUUAUUGGUUUGGCGUUCUUGGUGUUAAGGGACGUAUUCCAGGCAAAUCCGGAAUACUAUGUUUAAUCAUGAGUCUCGCGCAUCGAUUAACGGUUUGGGUUUUCCCGAGCCAAUUCAGACGAAGUGCAUUCCGAGAAAUACUUCUAAGGUGCGCCUGGCCGGUUCCGUACCGUAAACCGCCACAGGUGGAUGAGGCGAGUAGCCUCAGGGGAACGGGUGAUUCUUCGUUAAGGAACUCGGCAAAAAAGCUAGGCGUAACUUAGGGAUAAGCCUUCCCUGCUGUUUACAGCAGGGCGCAGCGAAAGUUUCUUUGGCGACUGUUUAACAAAAACACAGCUCCCUGCGAACUCGUAAGAGGAUGUAUAGGGGGUGACGCCUGACCGAUGCGAGAAGGUUAACGAUGGGGGUGAAUUCCGCAAGGGAUUUGCUCACUGUCCGAAGCCCUCGUCAAUGUCCGCGGUAACUAUAACCGUGUUAAAGUAGCGCAAUUCCUUUUCGGGUAAGUUCCGAAGCGCAUGAAAGGCGUAACGAUCGAAGAACUGUCUCAACGAAGAGCCCGAUGAAAGUGCGAUUCCCGUGAAGACGCGGGGUACUGGCAACUAGACGAAAAGACCCCGGAAGCUUUACUGCAACUUGAUAUUGAUAAUAAUGGGUGAUUGCGUAGCAUAGUGAGGAGCCAUUGAAGUUCCGUUUUCGGAUGGGGCAGAGGCGACAGUGAAAUACUCAUCUUUUAUUUGUUAUUAUCUAACCUGUGUGGAAAAAACAUAUGGGGACAGUGUCUGGUGGGCAGUUUUUCUGGGGCGGAACCCUCCCAAAAGGUAACGGAGGGGUUUAUUAAGGUCAGCUUAGCGCGGAUGGAAAUCGCGCAGGACGUGUAAAGGCACAAGCUGGCUUGACUGCAAGGCCGACAAGCCGCGCAGGUGCGAAAGCAGAACUUAGCGACCCGACUAUUCAUCAUAGAAAGGUAGGAGAUAACGGCUAAAAGUUACUCCGGGGAUAACAGGCUGGUGAGAUCCGAGAGUUCCCAUCGACGAUCUCGCUCGGCACCUCGAUGUCGGCUCACCACAUCCCGGGGCUGGAGAAGGUCCCAAGGGUAUGGCUGUUCGCCAUUUAAAGUGGUACGUGAGCUGGGUUCAAACCGUCGUGAGACAGGUUGGUCUCUAUCUGUUGUCAGCGUGGAUGCUUGAGGGAAGUCGACCCUAGUACGAGAGGACCGGGUUGAACGAAUCUCUGGUGUAUCGGCUUUGCUACCAAGUGAACUGCCGAGUAGCUAUAUUCGGACGGGAUAAGCGCUGAAAGCAUCUAAGCGCGAAGCCUCUCCCAAGAUUAGGCAUCAUGAACUCCUGGAAGACUACCAGGUUGAUAGGCUCUAGAUGUAAGCGUGGUAACACGUUCAGUCGAGGAGUACUAAUCAGUUCAGCG
rnacentral:rRNA from 1 species